UUAAAUUUUCUCUCUCUCUCUCUCUCUGUCUUUUAUUAUUUCUUCCUUUUUGUUUAUAUUACUUUUAUGAAAGAGAGAGAGAGAGAGAGAGAGAGAAAAGUAA